UACGGGGGGGGCAAGCGUUGUUCGGAAUUACUGGGCGUAAAGGGCUCGUAGGUGGCCAACUAAGUCAGACGUGAAAUCCCUCGGCUUAACCGGGGAACUGCGUCUGAUACUGGAUGGCUUGAGUGUCGGAGAGGAAAGUGGAAUUCCUGGUGUAGAGGUGAAAUUCGUAGAUAUCAGGAGGAACACCGGUGGCGAAGGCGGCUUUCUGGACGACAACUGACGCUGAGGCGCGAAAGCCAGGGGAGCAAACGGG
rnacentral:rRNA from 1 species